rnacentral:rRNA from 1 species
AGAGUUUGAUCAUGGCUCAGGACGAACGCUGGCGGCGUGCUUAACACAUGCAAGUCGAGCGGUAAGGCCUUUCGGGGUACACGAGCGGCAGCGGGUGAGUAACACGUGGGUGAUCUGCCCUGCACUUUGGGAUAAGCCUGGGAAACUGGGUCUAAUACCGAAUAUGACCAUGCACUUCCUGGUGUGUGGUGGAAAGCUUUUGCGGUGUGGGAUGGGCCCGCGGCCUAUCAGCUUGUUGGUGGGGUAAUGGCCUACCAAGGCGACGACGGGUAGCCGGCCUGAGAGGGUGACCGGCCACACUGGGACUGAGAUACGGCCCAGACUCCUACGGGAGGCAGCAGUGGGGAAUAUUGCACAAUGGGCGCAAGCCUGAUGCAGCGACGCCGCGUGAGGGAUGACGGCCUUCGGGUUGUAAACCUCUUUCAGCACAGACGAAGCGCAAGUGACGGUAUGUGCAGAAGAAGGACCGGCCAACUACGUGCCAGCAGCCGCGGUAAUACGUAGGGUCCGAGCGUUGUCCGGAAUUACUGGGCGUAAAGAGCUCGUAGGUGGUUUGUCGCGUUGUUCGUGAAAACUCACAGCUUAACUGUGGGCGUGCGGGCGAUACGGGCAGACUUGAGUACUGCAGGGGAGACUGGAAUUCCUGGUGUAGCGGUGGAAUGCGCAGAUAUCAGGAGGAACACCGGUGGCGAAGGCGGGUCUCUGGGCAGUAACUGACGCUGAGGAGCGAAAGCGUGGGGAGCGAACAGGAUUAGAUACCCCGGUAGUCC